rnacentral:tRNA from 1 species
GGGAGUAUAGCUUAGUGGUAGAGCGCAUGCUUGGUAUGUACAAGGUCCUGGGUUCCCCAGCACUCCCA